rnacentral:misc_RNA from 1 species
UUGAAUAAACUUGGUUGGGUUGAUGCUGGCUCCUCGGAGCAUGUGCACGCUCACUCCAUUUUUAACCACCUGUGCACCUUGUGUAGAUCUGAACAACCUCUCGAGGAAACUCGGAUAUAGAACUGCUGUGCGUAAAAGCCAGCUUUUCUUGAGUUCAGAUUUAUGUCUUUAUAUACUCCAUAUGAAUGUAUUGGAAUGUAAUUGACAGGCGUUACUGCCUUUAAAAUCAAAUA